CUCACCAGGCAGAGAAGGAGAAGAUUUUGGCAUCGGAUCAGACUCUGCAGCCUCAUUCUCAGGAUGGGCUCGUACCUGGUCCUCGCAUUGCUGCUGGUCACUCUCCCAGGUGUCUGCUCUGAGGUGCAGCUGGUACAGUCUGGGCCUGAAGUGAAGCAGCCGGGGGCGUCCCUGAAGAUCUCCUGUAAAGCCUCCGGGUACACGUUCACAGGCAGCUGGCUUAGCUGGGUCCGCCAGGCUCCUGGGAAAGGCCUGGAGUGGAUGGGGAUGAUUUACCCUUCAGAUGCAGACACGAGGUACGCCACGUCCUUUCAAGGACAAGUCACCAUCACCACUGACAACUCCAUCAACACCGGCUACUUGGAGUGGAAAAGCCUGAAGCCCUCAGACAUGGCCAUAUAUUAUUGUGCAAGAAGCACAGUGACAGAAACCACAUCCUGA